UUCGGUCCAAGAUAUUCAGAUAUACUGAACAUGUUCAAUAUUCGAAUGCUGAGAAGAAUAAAUGUUAAGACCAAUAAUAAAUUAGACGAGUCUGGAUCUUUACAUAUUAAACCAAUUCCUAUUGCGUACACAGCCAUCACUGUCCAAUCUAGAAGAUUCCAUACAUUACAUAUAUAUCUUUUAAAUCUUUUUCUUCUAGCUGAAACAAAUACCU
rnacentral:lncRNA from 1 species